rnacentral:rRNA from 1 species
GAUGAACGCUGACAGAAUGCUUAACACAUGCAAGUCAACUGUUGCGGACGGGUGAGUAACGCGUAAAGAACUUGCCUCACGGAUAGGGACAACAUUUUGAAACGAAUGCUAAUACCUGAUACUGUUAGAGCGCUUUGCGUCCCAUUAGCUCGUUGGAGAGGUAACGGCUCACCAAGGCGAUGAUGGGUAGCCGGCCUGAGAGGGUGAUCGGCCACCAGGGGACUGAGACACGGCCCUUACUCCUACGGGAGGCAGGAGUGGGGAAUAUUGGACAAUGGACCAAAGUCUGAUGCAGCAAUUCUGUGUGCACGAUGAAGUUUUCGGAAUGUAAAGUGCUUUCAGUUGGGAAGCGGUACCAACAGAAGAAGUGACGGCUAAAUACGUGCCAGCCGCCGCGGUAAUAC